UGUAAAAAAGAAAUGCUUGAGAGAGUAUCCAAUACUUAUGGGGGUGCAUAGGACAUCUAACCAGUAUGCGGCAUCGGAGAAACUGUUAACCAUGGACGCAAGCAUCAGAAAAUCAUUACAAGACAAGCCAUCGCUUACUGGGUAUCUUACUGUAAAUCCCUUUGGAAUCAUUUCGAUUGGACCAGAUUUGGACUUUGAGGCACCACACGGCAGAGAAAACGUGAAGGGAUAGAAAAAUUGUCACCGAGAGCCACCGUCCAGUAGUCUACUCUCAUGUACUUUAGUUGCACUGAAUUAGUAGUAAUUGAAAUGUCUUUUAGUUAUUUUGCUGUUUACUGUAUUUUUGGUCUUUGCAUUUUGUUUUGAUUAUAUAUGUAAAGUAUACGAAUAUUUUCCUAGAAUAACCAACCCAUAUAAUUUUUAUAUUCUGUAACUUAGUGAAAUACAUUUACUGCAAGCAUGAUCAAGCAUCAGUAUAUUAAUUGUUACAAGUGGGAUAUAAAUGAUUGGUGCACACGUUCCAGUGGUACAAACAUGAAACAUAUAGCUGGUACCACUACCAGCACAUAAUAACUGCUACCAGCAAAAAAUAACUAGCAAGGAAAAACAGGAAAAAGAAGACUAAGCUAUAGUUUGUGGUAGAACAGGGUAUAAGGAAUAUGUUUUGUAUAUGUGUUUGUAUAUUUGUUUUCUGGAAUUACCGAGGAUCGAGGUGAAAGAUAAAUGAGGUUGAUUGAUGGUGGCAAAUAAACACGAAAUGUAUUCAUUUCCAAAGUUA